rnacentral:rRNA from 1 species
UACGGAGGGUGCGAGCGUUGUCCGGAAUCACUGGGCGUAAAGGGCGCGUAGGUGGUCUGAUAAGGGUGUGGUGAAAGCCCGGGGCUCAACCCCGGGUCGGCCGUGCCGACUGUUGGACUAGAGUGCUGUAGGGGCAGGCGGAAUUCCGGGUGUAGCGGUGGAAUGCGUAGAGAUCCGGAGGAAGACCGGUGGCGAAGGCGGCCUGCUGGGCAGUUACUGACACUGAGGCGCGACAGCGUGGGGAGCGAACAGG